rnacentral:rRNA from 1 species
AGUGAACGCUGGCGGUAGGCCUAACACAUGCAAGUCGAACGGCAGCACAGUAAGAGCUUGCUCUUACGGGUGGCGAGUGGCGGACGGGUGAGGAAUACAUCGGAAUCUACUUUUUCGUGGGGGAUAACGUAGGGAAACUUACGCUAAUACCGCAUACGACCUACGGGUGAAAGCAGGGGAUCUUCGGACCUUGCGCGAUUGAAUGAGCCGAUGUCGGAUUAGCUAGUUGGCGGGGUAAAGGCCCACCAAGGCGACGAACCGUAGCUGGUCUGAGAGGAUGAUCAGCCACACUGGAACUGAGACACGGUCCAGACUCCUACGGGAGGCAGCAGUGGGGAAUAUUGGACAAUGGGCGCAAGCCUGAUCCAGCCAUACUGCGUGGGUGAAGAAGGCCUUCGGGUUGUAAAGCCCUUUUGUUGGGAAAGAAAAGCAGCAGGUUAAUACCCCGCUGUUCUGACGGUACCCAAAGAAUAAGCACCGGCUAACUUCGUG